ACACGCAUGACACACUGCAUAUCAAUAAGCGGAGGAAAAGAAACUAACAAGGAUUCCCUUAGUAACGGCGAGUGAAGCGGGAAGGGCUCAAAUUUGAAAUCUUCAAGGUUUUACCUUGACGAAUUGUAGUUUAAAGAAGUGUUUUCUGUUGAAGUUUUGGUAAAAGUUCUUUGGAAUAGGACAUCAUAGAGGGUGAGAAUCCCGUAUUUGACCAUUAUUUUCAGCUGUGUGAUACACUUUCAAAGAGUCGGAUUGUUUGGGAAUGCAGUCCAAAAUGGGUGGUAAAUUUCAUCUAAAGCUAAAUAUUGGCGAGAGACCGAUAGCGAACAAGUACCGUGAGGGAAAGAUGAAAAGAACUUUGAAAAGAGAGUUAAACAGUACGUGAAAUUGCCAAAAGGGAAGCGUUUGACACCAGUGUUGUUUUCUCGAAAAUCAAUUAAAAAAAGUUGGAUUUUGUGUUGUAUUGACCUUAACAGCUUUCUUCACUCUUUUCCUGCUUUUUUUAAUGCACUUUUCGUUUAACAAGUCAACAUCAGUUUCUUUUGUUGUAAAAGAGUCAUUGGAAGGUGGCUUUUCUUUCGGAGAAAGUGUUUAUAGCCUUUGACUUCUGCAGUCGGAGAGAUUGAGGUCUGCAGCGUAGAUCCUUCGGGGUUAGAUACAUUUGUGCUAAGCUAUAGUUCUUUAUAGACAACUUGUUGACUAUGAUCAGUCCUGUAGCUUACUCGCUUAUGCUAUUUUACCUACGCUUAGGAUGUUGAGCGCAUGUCUCUCUCU
rnacentral:rRNA from 1 species